GCUGGUGGUACAGCGACAAAUAAAUCAAAUAAAAAUAAGCGGAAGGCUCCCCUCAAGAGAUCAAAAGGAAGCUUAGGUAGUCUGGAUGUUGUUGCAGUAAAAAAUAACAAGUCACCGACAAAGCCUUCAACUUCUUCCUCCAAUGAAGGUUCUUCACAAAGUGAGAGUGGAAGCGGGAGUUCUUCUGAAGGAAGCAGUACAAAUUCA